AGUGAACGCUGGCGGCAGGCCUAACACAUGCAAGUCGAGCGGCAGCGGGUCCCCGCGAGGGGAUGCCGGCGAGCGGCGGACGGGUGAGGAACACAUCGGAAUCUGCCUGGUUGUGGGGGAUAACGUAGGGAAACUUACGCUAAUACCGCAUGCGACCCUGAGUCGACGGACGUGGGGGUGAAAGUGGAGGGACCUUCGGGCCUCACGCGACCAGAUGAGCCGAUGUCGGAUUAGCUAGUUGGCGGGGUAACGGCCCGCCAAGGCGACGAUCCGUAGCUGGUCUGAGAGGAUGAUCAGCCACACU
rnacentral:rRNA from 1 species